GAGGGCUGGGCGGGCCGGGCUGCGUCCCAUCCUAGCCCUGCCCUCCCUUCCCCUGCU
rnacentral:pre_miRNA from 1 species